rnacentral:rRNA from 1 species
CCGGAGGAAGGUGGGGAUGACGUCAAGUCCUCAUGGCCCUUAUGGGUAGGGCUUCACACGUCAUACAAUGGUCGGUACAGAGGGUUGCCAAGCCGCGAGGUGGAGCCAAUCCCAGAAAGCCGAUCGUAGUCCGGAUUGUUCUCUGCAACUCGAGAGCAUGAAGUCGGAAUCGCUAGUAAUCGCGGAUCAGCGUGUCGCGGUGAAUACGUUCCCGGGUCUU